rnacentral:rRNA from 1 species
CCUACGGGAGGCAGCAGUGAGGAAUAUUGGUCAAUGGGCGAAAGCCUGAACCAGCCAAGUCGCGUGAGGGAUGAAGGCUCUAUGGUUUGUAAACAUCUUUUAUGAGGGAAUAAAGUGUGGGACGUGUCCUGUUUUGUAUGUACCUUAUGAAUAAGGAUCGGCUAACUCCGUGCCAGCAGCCGCGGUAAUACGGAGGAUCCGAGCGUUAUCCGGAUUGAUUGGGUUUAAAGGGUGCGUAGGGGGUUUUUUAAGUCAGCGGUGAAAGUCUGUGGCUCAACCAUAGAAUUGCCGUUGAAACUGGGAGGCUUGAGUCUGUUUGAGGGAGGCGGAAUGCGUGGUGUAGCGGUGAAAUGCUUAGAGAUCACGCAGAACCCCGAUUGCGAAGGCAGCCUCCCAAACCAUGACUGACGCUGAUGUACGAAAGCGUGGGGAUCAAACAGGAUUAGAUACCCCGGUAGUC